UCCACGGCAGCCCCAGGAAGUCGGAUAAACACUGAGGUGGCUUCGGUUGCGAGUCCAGCUAACUUUAGUCAAGGAGGGAGAAAAAUGAGGCUGAGGGGUGGGGGCUCGGAGCUUGAGUCCCUCGUCGGCAGCAAGGAUGAACUGGCCUCUGAAACAGGGACCGGCCACCUCGACCACCACCCAGCCAAGGGCCGCAGCUUCCAGAAGCGUGAGAAUCCCUUCCCGCUGUGAGACUCUGGGAAUCUGAAGGCUAGAGAGAAUAUGUGACUUGUUCUCCAGCAGAGCAGUUACUCAUGGCUGCUCAUCCCCGCCUAUCAGCACAUACUCAGUGAAGAGUCCACAACGUUCUUGGCACCGGGAACGCAGCGCGGUACAAGCCCUGAGAUCUUCAAACCCAUGAAGUUCACAGUCUAGGAAAAGGCAAGUGCUGGACAACCAUAGACACGAAGCUGUGGCUGGCACCGCAGUGGACAUAGCUUGUUGAAAGCAGAGGACUGUGAGCACUGGUGCCUCGGUGUUGCCGGGAAGAAGACACUUCAGACAGGUGACUUGGAAAAUGAGAAAACCAGACCUGAAAGCACUGCACAGUUAAAGGGGCAAAGGAGCAUCUGUGACAAGGAAUAGAGCCGUCUGGAGGAGAUGACUCUGGGUAGGAGAGGCAUGAAGGUGGGAGGGAGCAUCUAGAGUGAAAACCAGAUGUGACUGGACAGGUGACAGAGGCCUGGUCAUUCCAUCCUUGAAAAGAAGGUUCAGACCUCAGUGUCUCCAGCACCAUGGGGUCUGGAAACCCAUAUUGCUCAACUUGGGUGACAAAAGCCUAGCUUGUGUGCAUCUGUUCUGAAUGAGCCUCCCCAAGAACCAAAGUAAACCAACUUUUCAGAGCACAAAGCUGAUGAGCCAGGCCUUCCAAGAAUCCAUGCUUUAUGAGCCUGGGCUGGGUCUUCUCUCCCCUUCUAAUCUCCAAAUGAGUAAAUACUUCCUGCUGCCUCUCUUCACAGUAGGACCCAUCCUAAGUAAGACACAGUUCUUUGUGGCUUAGUUUCACAUAGCUAUGUGGCUAUGUUUAGUGUUCUUGGGGAAGGGGUUAAGAUUCUAGAAUGAAGUGAGUUUGGCCAGUAUUCAGCAGGAGCUAAGACACAGAGAGUUGCUGCUGUGGAUUAAAAAUAUCCAAAAGGAUGGGGGCAGACCACACGAUAACAUGUGCCAGCUGCCAGGUACAGCCUGCCCGUGUUCAUUUAUUUUCCCAAUAAACCUUUAUGUAUUAAGAAAUGUCUAUGAGAGCAUCUCGGUGGCGGAACAGAUGUACUGCCUGUUAUGUGUGAGCUUCCCGGGCUUGGGGGCGGGGUAUGAGAGAGCGAUUUAUCUCAGGUAUCACUCUGUAAUUUGAGCUUAAACAUUUUGAGUUACUGAAAGAAAGGUUUCAAAUACAGUUUCUAUAGCUCGUAUUUUGGGUCAGUCCUUCACAUGCUACCUAAUUGCUUAUAUCCAGGUCCUCAAAAUGGGAAAACUCUGCCCAGUAUGAACAAAUAUGGAUUGUUAUAGCCUAUUUCAGCCUCAAUUAACUGGCGGUUAAAAUGUGUUCCUUAGGCAGGAAGUAAUUAAUAUUCACCCUCACGUUAUACUUUUUUGAACUGUCUUAAGGAUCCAUGAGAAUCAGAUUUUUUUAAAGAGAUUCUGCUGCAGCAGAGGAGAGGCAUGCACAGCAGAGGAGAGGCAUGCACAGCAGAGGAGAGGCAUGCACAGCAGAGGAGAGGCAUGCACAGCAGAGGAGAGGCAUGCACAGCAGAGGAGAGGCAUGCACAGCAGAGGAGAGGCAUGCACAGCAGAGGAGAGGCAUGCACAGCAGAGGAGAGGCAUGCACAGCAGAGGAGAGGCAUGCACAGCAGAGGAGAGGCAUGCACAGCAGAGGAGAGGCAUGCAUCUGUAGUGUGUGAGAUUCCAGACGGAUACAUAGCUACACACACUACACAGCUAAACGCCCAUCGUCAUGUGUAGAUAUAACCUAGCUGCUUAACGUCACGUCACAUACGUUUCAGUCAGCCAAAUUGCUGAAAAUAAAAUGUAUAGUGUGAUAUAUUGCGGCCAUAUAUUGUGUACAGUUUGUAUAUAAAAAAGAAAGAAUGAUUAAAAGUCGAUGAGAGUGUU